CCCGGGGAAACCCGGAUUAAUACCGCAUGACCUCGAAAGAGCAAAGUGGGGGAUCGCAAGACCUCACGCUUUUGGAGAAGCCUACGUCGGAUUAGCUAGUUGGUGAGGUAAUGGCUCACCAAGGCGACGAUCCGUAACUGGUCUGAGAGGAUGAUCAGUCACACCGGAACUGAGACACGGUCCGGACUCCUACGGGAGGCAGCAGUGGGGAAUAUUGGACAAUGGGCGCAAGCCUGAUCCAGCAAUGCCGCGUGUGUGAAGAAGGCCUUCGGGUUGUAAAGCACUUUAAGUUGGGAAGAAAAAACUCACUCUAACACAGUGAGUCUUGACGGUACCGACAGAAUAAGCACCGGCUAA
rnacentral:rRNA from 1 species